ACAGGCCAAGGCACAGGCCCGUGGACAGGGACAUAAGCCAUUUCCCAGUGGAAAGGGAGAUCCCAGCCAAGCAGGAAACAGCGGCAGGAAAAAGCCAGUUCCACUCCACUUCCUUAGAAGCACAGCAAACCCGUGGAAGAACUAUUGUAUGAACCAAGAAAAAACCGAAAAAUCCCAAACACCUCAUUGUUUAGGGCUGGGAAAAGCAUCAUUAGUGACCUUAAAUCCAAACAUGGUUAUUAUUCAGGUUCAUGGUUUGGAGCACAUCCAAGAUAUCCUUGUCUGGAACAAGUUUAAACUUAUCUGCCUGAAAUUAUAUAAAAUAUUUGGGUCAGAGCAGUGCAUGCUCACUGAGUGGAAUCUGAUUCCCAAACACAGGUUUGUGAAUGUGUGCUUGAACGCCAUUACACCUACUUGCACACAUCAGGAUACACAGAUAUCCAAUGUGAGAUGUUGUUUUCAAAUGGCAUAUCCCUGGCUUUUAAAAGAAGUGACAGAGGUUCGCUUGAACGGUGUUGGUUUAAGAGCUGGAGUGCAUGCAGCUGGAUGUCUGACCACCAAGGCUAGGGACCUGUGCAGCUGGACAAAUUUAGGACCUUUAAAUUACCUCUUUCAAGCUAAGUGAGUUUUAUAGAAACCACUGAACUCCUGUUUAUUUGUUUGUUUCUGAAAGGAAAGGGGGAAAAUUUUCGUUUAAAUAGAAGGAAUUGCUAACUUCCAAGAGUAUAGCGUUGAAAGAGUACAUCUUGAAUGUACGUUGAAAGAGUACGUUGAAUGUACAUCUGUGAACUGUCAGUAUGUGGAUUUACCAUGAGCACAAAGUGCAAAGUUUGUGCAUAAAUUCAUUUGUAAUGUGGUGCCAGCACUUGCAAGAAGAACGAACCUCCAAUACUUUAAUGACUAAGUUACAGAGUAAUUAAGCCUUGAUCUCUGUUUCUGCACAAUCCAAGCUGAAAAAAGCAGUAACAGUAAAUCCAGAUUCAGCAUCUUUUCCAGGUAGCACUUCUGGAACUUUAUGCAGAACUAGUGCAAGUUUUAAAGAGACGCUCCUGACAAAUCCUCUGAUGCAUCAACUCUCAUAUUAAAAGGUGGUAAAAUGAGCAAUCCCUUGCACAGAAAAAUAUGAAUCAACCAGCUAAAUAUAAGAAGGAAUGUUUUAGCCACCUGAUGAUUUUUGGAUGAGAAAUGUGCAUUAAAGGAAAGAUUAAAACGGCUCUAGAAACAGUGACGAUUUCGUUCUGUGCUCCAAGAGUAUUGCAUCCCAAGAAAGAUAAAGCUGGACCUGAAACUGGAAAACCUUUGGUCUCAUCUGAUGUGCAUGAAGGAGAGAGGGACAAUUAAGAACUACCGAACAACGCCACUUCUUGUACAUAAACUUUUGCCUGGGACAACAAGCCUUACUGAAGAUCCUCCUCCUGUAGAGAAAAGAUGGAAGCUGACCUCUGCAAGAACAAGGAGAAAGUGGUAGGAGGCAGUUAACACAGAACAGAAAUGAAGGGAAGGAAAACAGAAGAGGAGAUGGUGUAUUUCAUUUCUUGCUAUUGCUAAUUGGGAAAUCAGAUUCAGACUGUACUUGUGAAGGAGAGUCCUGUUAGCUUCCGUUCCAAAAGAAAUGCCAAAGGACGAGAAUCUUCAUGUGAAUGCAGAAAUACGGAAAAUGAAUGCUUCUGGGAGUCUUAGGGAUUUUUAUAUACCACAUACAUACAGAGGAAAAACAAAAUCGAGGAGUUCAUAACCAUGUGCUUUUGAGAACUGGCACAUGGCAGGAAUGUUUGCUGGGAAGCUCUAAAUCUCGGUCUUACUCAUCAGCUUAUGAAAAAUGAUGGUAUUUAAAAAGCCCAACUGUUUUUUAAAGAUAUGUAAGGCCAGAAAAUCAAUUUGUGAAUCAUGGUCAUCUGUAUGUGUACAUAUACAAGUUAUUACCCACCGUUUGACAUGGUUAUCUCCUGACAAACCCAGCAUUUAACUGGAAAUAACAAGCACUUAAAUCGUGAUAUAAUCAGGCUGCUCAGCAAACAAAUAAUCAAGAACAAUGUGAAAUAAAGGACAAAUAGAUGAAAUGCUGGACCUACUUAAGUCAAUGGGAAUUGUGUUAUGGACUUCAAUGAGGCCAACGUUUUUCCUGAUGUAUUGAAGUUCCAGGCCUUAUGAAAAUGCGACAGUCCUCACCUCUUCCUCAGUUAAGUGAUGGCUAUUCUUAAGGAAGAAUGCUUUUUGAAGGGGUCUGCGACUGUCUUUUCCUUAGAGGCUUGCAUAGGGAAGGGAGUUAUCAAUAGCUUCUGUGGCAAGUUCUUGCCAAAAUUCUACUGGAGACUGACAGUCGCGUGAUAUGUUCCUGCGCUCACUUGCAUAUGUCCUGCUGGUUUGGAAAGGGAUCAGCAUAAAUGUAAUUCCUGCCUUAGAUGUGUGAUGCACUGAAGUUACUGGAAAUCUCUGUGUGUCACCUGAGACUGUAAAUGAUGGAAAUGGGACUAACCAGCCAAUCCAAGCGAAGGAACCUCUAAAGAUUUAUCCACACCGUACCUCUGUCUCGAUAUGUAUGUUUCAUGAAAAUCAUGCAAAAGAAACUAUUGCUUUCCCAGAGCCUGGUACUAUUUUCUGCAGAGACUGGGGGCUUUUCCUUCAUUCGUCCUACAUUUGGUAAGGAGUGUCAUCCAUUUUUGCCACUUGAAAAUAGGAUGCUACUCAUCUCUGGUUUUUGCUAAUCAUGAGCACGCACCAGUGCCAAGGCCAGCAGGCAGGGUGCUUUCACAAAUGAUGGAGAGUAAACUGCUGUCAACUGAGAGCAAUUCUGGUGGCUCUUGGACAACUCGCUACACCCCCAAAUCAUCCCAGGAGGGGCAGCUGAAAGAAGAGUGCCGCUGGCUGUAUGAAUUACCCUAACAGCGUUCCUCAAACCUUUUUGUUAUUCCAACGGAAAAUGCUGUGGGGAUGAUGAAUGAUAAUGGAAUAUAUUUGUGUUCCGGUAGGCUGACAAAAGAGACUGUAAAGCUAUCCACAACUUUCCAACCUUUUAAGAUUCCUUACUCACAGAUAUAAGGGCAUGUGUGGAAAUGCAGAAUUUUUUAAUGUGGACCUUUCAGUAUAACGUGAUUGGAAAGAAGAUACGCAAAAUCCAAGGAAUACAAAGAUCUGACACUACAAUAAAUGCUA